rnacentral:rRNA from 1 species
UGGGUAACCGGCGAACGGGUGCGUAACACGUGAGCGACCUGCCUUUCCGCGGGGGGAUAGCCGGCCCAACGGCCGGGUAAUACCGCAUACGCUGCCUGGGGGGCAUCCCCUGGGUAGGGAAACCUCCGGGGCGGAGAGAGGGGCUCGCGACCUAUCAGCUAGUUGGCGGGGUAACGGCCCACCAAGGCGUCGACGGGUAGCUGGUCUGAGAGGAUGGCCAGCCACAUUGGGACUGAGAUACGGCCCAG